GGCUCAUGUGAGGCCUGAGGAAGCCGAGUCUCUUUCUCAAGCUCUGGGUGAAGAGCUCGACCUCAGUCAGACUCAGCUGAACCUGCAGGUCUGUAGAGGUCUGGAGCUGAUUCUGGAAUAUUCUGAAGGACUGACAGAACUGGAUCUGAGUCAGUGCCGUCUCACCGAUGACAGCCUGGAUCUGCUGCUCCCAAACCUCCACAAAGUGCAAAACAUUGAUUUUAGUGGCAAUAGCAUCACGGACUUUGGGGCUCAGAAAAUCUACAAUAUCGUCACUUGCAACAGUAACAUAAAGACAUUAAGGCUCUUCAACAACAGAAUUGAAUUCAAAGAGCUCUUUAGCACAGGCCCACGAUUUGAGAUCUGGUGAUGCCAAGAAACUCUCUCUGGAAUCAACAAGCAGGUGAAAUAACCAGUGGAGAUAAGGUAACAGAUGUAAAAAACCAUUAAGGAAUCUGCCCAACCAGAGUCCUAGAGAUGAAUCAAGCCACCAGGUCAUAAACCACAUAAACCAUGGUUUCUGUUGGAUUAACUGUGACAAAAUCAGUCUCCUUUGUAAACUGUCUUUCCCCUUCU